rnacentral:rRNA from 1 species
GACGAACGCUGGCGGCGUGCCUAAUACAUGCAAGUAGAACGCUGAAGGAGGAGCUUGCUCUUCUGGAUGAGUUGCGAACGGGUGAGUAACGCGUAGGUAACCUGCCUGGUAGCGGGGGAUAACUAUUGGAAACGAUAGCUAAUACCGCAUAAUAGUAGAUGUUGCAUGAUAUUUACUUAAAAGGUGCAAUUGCACCACUACCAGAUGGACCUGCGUUGUAUUAGCUAGUUGGUGGGGUAACGGCUCACCAAGGCGACGAUACAUAGCCGACCUGAGAGGGUGAUCGGCCACACUGGGACGGAGACACGGCCCAUACUCCUACGGGAGGCAGCAGUAGGGAAUCUUCGGCAAUGGACGAAAGUCUGACCGAGCAACGCCGCGUGAGUGAAGAAGGUUUUCGGAUCGUAAAGCUCUGUUGUAAGAGAAGAACGAGUGUGAGAGUGGAAAGUUCACACUGUGACGGUAUCUUACCAGAAAGGGACGGCUAACUACGUG